rnacentral:rRNA from 1 species
GUGGCGAACGGGUGAGUAAAGUAUCGGAACGUACCUUUCAGUGGGGGAUAACGUAGCGAAAGUUACGCUAAUACCGCAUAUUCUGUGAGCAGGAAAGCAGGGGAUCGCAAGACCUUGCGCUGAUUGAGCGGCCGAUAUCAGAUUAGCUAGUUGGUGAGGUAAAGGCUCACCAAGGCGACGAUCUGUAGCGGGUCUGAGAGGAUGAUCCGCCACACUGGAACUGAGACACGGUCCAGACUCCUACGGGAGGCAGCAGCGGGGAAUUUUGGACAAUGGGGGCAACCCUGAUCCAGCCAUGCCGCGUGAGUGAAGAAGGCCUUCGGGUUGUAAAGCUCUUUCGGCCGGGAAGAAAUCGUAAGGGUUUAUACCCUGUGCGGAUGACGGUACCGGCAUAAGAAGCACCGGCUAACUACGUGCCAGCAGCCGCGGUAUACGUAGGGUGCGAGCGUUAAUCGGAAUUACUGGGCGUAAAGCGUGCGCAGGCGGUUUUGUAAGACAGGCGUGAAAUCCCCGGGCUCAACCUGGGAACUGCGCUUGUGACUGCAAGGCUAGAGUAUGGCAGAGGGGGGUGGAAUUCCACGUGUAGCAGUGAAAUGCGUAGAGAUGUGGAGGAACACCAAUGGCGAAGGCAGCCCCCUGGGCCAAUACUGACGCUCAUGCACGAAAGCGUGGGUAGCAAACAGGAUUAGAUACCCUGGUAGUCCACGCCCUAAACGAUGUCAACUAGGUGUUGGGUGGGUAAAACCAUUUAGUACCGGAGCUAACGCGUGAAGUUGACCGCCUGGGGAGUACGGCCGCAAGGUUAAAACUCAAAGGAAUUGACGGGGACCCGCACAAGCGGUGGAUGAUGUGGAUUAAUUCGAUGCAACGCGAAAAACCUUACCUACCCUUGACAUGUCCAGGAGCCUGAAGAGAUUUGGGUGUGCCCGAAAGGGAACUGGAACACAGGUGCUGCAUGGCUGUCGUCAGCUCGUGUCGUGAGAUGUUGGGUUAAGUCCCGCAACGAGCGCAACCCUUGUCGUUAAUUGCCAUCAUUUAGUUGGGCACUUUAACGAGACUGCCGGUGACAAACCGGAGGAAGGUGGGGAUGACGUCAAGUCCUCAUGGCCCUUAUGGGUAGGGCUUCACACGUCAAACAAUGGUCGGUACAAAGGGUUGCCAACCCGCGAGGGGGAGCCAAUCCCAGAAAGCCGAUCGUAGUCCGGAUCGCAGGCUGCAACUCGCCUGCGUGAAGUCGGAAUCGCUAGUAAUCGUGGAUCAGCAUGUCACGGUGAAUACGUUCCCGGGUCUUGUACACACCGCCCGUCACACCAUGGGAGCGGGUUCCGCCAGAAGUAGGUAGCCUAACCGCAAGGGGGGCGCUUACCACGGCGGGGUUCGUGACUGGGGUGAAGUCGAAACAAGGUA